rnacentral:rRNA from 1 species
UGGGGAAUAUUGGACAAUGGGGGGAACCCUGAUCCAGCCAUGCCGCGUGUGUGAAGAAGGCCUUAUGGUUGUAAAGCACUUUAAGCGAGGAGGAGGCUCUCUUGGUUAAUACCCAAGAAGAGUGGACGUUACUCGCAGAAUAAGCACCGGCUAACUCUGUGCCAGCAGCCGCGGUAAUACAGAGGGUGCGAGCGUUAAUCGGAUUUACUGGGCGUAAAGCGUGCGUAGGCGGCUUUUUAAGUCGGAUGUGAAAUCCCCGAGCUUAACUUGGGAAUUGCAUUCGAUACUGGGAAGCUAGAGUAUGGGAGAGGAUGGUAGAAUUCCAGGUGUAGCGGUGAAAUGCGUAGAGGUCUGGAGGAAUACCGAUGGCGAAGGCAGCCAUCUGGCCUAAUACUGACGCUGAGGUACGAAAGCAUGGGGAGCAAACAGG